GCUAUGAUCGUAGCCAGCGGCCGCGGUGUAACUGCGAGUGCAUGGUGUGUGCUGAAUGAUUGGGCGUAAAACCCGAGCAGGAGGUCGGUUAAGUCUGGGGUUUAAGUGCGGGACGCAACCCCGUAUCGCCCUAGAAACUGGGGGACUUGAGUGUAGGAGAGGAAAGUGGAAUUCCACGUGUAGCGGUGAAAUGCGUAGAGAUGUGGAGGAACACCAGUGGCGAAGGCGACUUUCUGGCCUAUAACUGACGCUGAGGCGCGAAAGCGUGGGGAGCAAACAGGAUUAGAUACCCUAGUAGUC
rnacentral:rRNA from 1 species